GACGAACGCUGGCGGCGUGCUUAACACAUGCAAGUCGAACGGAAAGUCCCUGCUUUUGUGGGGUGCUCGAGUGGCGAACGGGUGAGUAACACGUGAGUAACCUGCCCUUGACUUUGGGAUAACUUCAGGAAACUGGGGCUAAUACCGGAUAGGAGCUCCUGCUGCAUGGUGGGGGUUGGAAAGUUUCGGCGGUUGGGGAUGGACUCGCGGCUUAUCAGCUGGUUGGUGGGGGAGUGGCUUACCAAGGCUUUGACGGGUAGCCGGCCUGAGAGGGUGACCGGCCACAUUGGGACUGAGAUACGGCCCAGACUCCUACGGGAGGCAGCAGUGGGGAAUAUUGCACAAUGGGCGGAAGCCUGAUGCAGCAACGCCGCGUGCGGGAUGACGGCCUUCGGGUUGUAAACCGCUUUCGCCUGUGACGAAGCGUGAGUGACGGUAAUGGGUAAAGAAGCACCGGCUAACUACGU
rnacentral:rRNA from 1 species